UUAACUCGAAUUUGUAUGGAGCUGGAACGUUUGGCUACGUUUGUCGCCAGGGGCGCUGUUCCAACUGCAUACAAUUUCGAGUUA
rnacentral:pre_miRNA from 1 species